rnacentral:rRNA from 1 species
AGUCGAGCGGAUGAGAGGAGCUUGCUCCUGGAUUCAGCGGCGGACGGGUGAGUAAUGCCUAGGAAUCUGCCUGGUAGUGGGGGACAACGUUUCGAAAGGAACGCUAAUACCGCAUACGUCCUACGGGAGAAAGCAGGGGACCUUCGGGCCUUGCGCUAUCAGAUGAGCCUAGGUCGGAUUAGCUAGUUGGUGAGGUAAUGGCUCACCAAGGCGACGAUCCGUAACUGGUCUGAGAGGAUGAUCAGUCACACUGGAACUGAGACACGGUCCAGACUCCUACGGGAGGCAGCAGUGGGGAAUAUUGGACAAUGGGCGAAAGCCUGAUCCAGCCAUGCCGCGUGUGUGAAGAAGGUCUUCGGAUUGUAAAGCACUUUAAGUUGGGAGGAAGGGCAGUAAAUUAAUACUUUGCUGUUUUGACGUUACCGACAGAAUAAGCACCGGCU